GGGAAUGAUGCUUUAUAAAUAUUGAUGAGAGACACUGAAUUCAAUUGCAUCAGGUUGUACUUUACCGAUGGUUAAAGGAUCGAAUAUUUUUUAAAGUGCUUUAACCAUUUUAAGGUUCCAUGGGAUAAACAGCUUGGGGUGAAAUCCAGAAAUAUAGUUGGUGUACAAAAGAGCAAGUUUGAGAUCUGCAAGAAGUAAAACACUGCAGCAAAGCUCUUUAAUUCACUCUGCAUAAAUAGCUGAGCCUACAAAAGAAAUCUCUAGUCAGAGGUUUCCUGGAUUUUAACAAGAAUUCUCUCGAUGGGAAGAAGUGCCCUUUUCACUUGAAGACAAAGAAAUGUUUGUAAUGGAAAUGUGUGAACCAAUUUUCCAAGGAGAGCUGCUGAAAAGCGCUGAUUAAAAACACAGUGAGGUGAUGAGGCAGUGAAAUAAAGCCAGAGCUGACCCACUUAAAGUUUGUGGCUGCACUUCCUUCUCAAAGUGAAGAGAGCAACCCUGGGCCACCUUCUACAUUCUUUCCCUUCUCCCCAACCCCAAGCAGUCCCUGCCCCCUUUACUGACCCUGCAACUCUGUAGACAGUCAGAACCUUCCAGCGUGCAGGAAUGUUUACUAUUUCUGGCCAUUGUGUACUGGUUACUAAGCUACUGCCACUGAGGAUGAAAUGGUAACCCAGUAGCCCAAAAGACAAAGUCCUUCUCAACAAAGCCUAACCAACAGGCAAUGGGUUACAGUGAUUCAGAGGAAAGAUAAGAAGUUUCCUUUGUCUUGGACCUCCACUAGACAUCAAGGAAACAUGCCAAAAAAGUAAACAACAAAGGCCCCACACCUUUCCAAACUACAACCCAAAAUAAGUUGAUCUGAGAAACAAAUUGCAAUGCCACAUGCAAAGCAGAUGUGUCCAAAUUCAUGUAGGACCAGACACAUCCUGAACCUUUAAAUGCAACAGCUGUUCAAGACUUUCUUCAAAAUCAUCCAAGCACAAGGGUUGAUAAAAUGCACACAAAAUGGCUGAUGCUCAAACCAACCAAAACACCAGGCUCUUUGCUGAAACCUCUGAAGGGUUCCUGGCUCCACGUCAGCCUCAAGGGAAUAAAGGAAGAUCACCUACCACUUCAAGCCAAAGAGCUGAAGGAGUUGUGUCAAGAUACAGAGUGCAGCAAGUAUAGGAAAGAUUAGAGAAACUGACCUGUCUGGAGAUGGCAAGCUGCAGAGCCAGCAUCUAAAAUGGCAGCCGAAGCUUGUCGGCUUUGUGGAGGGCCUUGAGGUGAAGAAUCCAUAGGCCCUGUGGUCUGUUCUCCCCAGCAGAUGGGUCUCUGUGUCAUGCUGGGACACAGUGAAGCCAUGUGUGCACUUGGCAAGGCGAUGGCUGCUUUGACAGGAUCUUACUCUAUCACCCAGGCUGGAGUGCAGUGGCAUGAUCACUGCUCAUUGCAGCCUCAACUUCCCAGGGCCCAAGCGAUCCUCCCAUCUCAGCCUCCCAAGGCGCUGGGACCACAGGCGCACUCCCCAUGCCCAGAUAAUUUAUAGAAUUUUUUGUAGACCCGGGGUUUCAAUAUGCUAUCCAGGCUAGUCUGGAACUACUAGGCUCAAGUGAUCCUCCCACUUUGGCAUCCCAAAACGCUGGGAUUACAGGCAUAAGCCACCACGCCCAGCUACUAAAUGUCUUAUUUCUAAGGUCCACUUAGUAUAUAGCAGCUUUUAUAAUUUUAUAAAUAUUGACUUUCCAUGAAUUUGUACAUCAAAGAAUAUUUUUCUUUGGUGUUUAUAAAAGUGAGAUUGAAAAAUCAUGGUUUCUUUCAUAAUUAUUCAGGAAAAAGAAUACACAAUUAUGAAGAAACUUUUUAGAUUUAUCUUCUUUCACAAAUAAUAAAGUUUACACAACCCUCAAAAA